UGGACAUAUUAUUGUAUUCGACUGUAUUCACAGCGUGAAACAGGGGAUUACACUAUUUUUAAAUGGAAAGUGAAUCAAUUAACAUAAUAGACUCCU
rnacentral:pre_miRNA from 1 species